AGUCUAAUGGUUAAGGCUCUGGAUCGCCAAUCCGGAAACGGCGGGUUUGAUUCCCGU
rnacentral:tRNA from 1 species